CCAAUAGCGUAUAUUAAAGUUGUUGCAGUUAAAAAGCUCGUAGUUGAAUUUCGGGAUCAAUUAAUUGGUCGUGCCUCUGGUACGUACUGAUUUUAUUGGUUUCUCCCUUCUGACGAACCAUGAUGUCAUUAAUUUGGUGUCGUGGAGAAUCAGGACUGUUACUUUGAAAAAAUUAGAGUGUUUAAAGCAAGCUAACGCUUGAAUACAUUAGCAUGGAAUAAUGAAAUAGGACGUUUGAUCCUAUUUUGUUGGUUUCUAGGAUCGACGUAAUGAUUAAUAGGGAUAGUUGGGGGCAUUAGGAUUAAAUUGUCAGAGGUGAAAUUCUUGGAUUUAUUGAAGACUAACGACUGCGAAAGCAUUGGCCAAGGAUGUUUUCAUUAAUCAAGAACGAAAGUUAGGGGAUCGAAGACGAUCAGAUACCGUCGUAGUCUUAACCAUAAACUAUGCCGACUAGGGAUCGGGCGGUGUUAUUAUUUUGACUCGCUCGGCACCUUACG
rnacentral:rRNA from 1 species